AGCCUGAACGCUGGCGGCGUGGCUAAGACAUGCAAGUCGUACGGAGGUAGCAAUACCUCAGUGGCGGACGGGUGAGUAAUGUAUCGCUAACGUACCCCGAGGUCUGGGAUAGCUGUCCGAAAGGAUAGGUAAUACCAGGAGACAUCACGAGAAGGCAUCUUCUCGGGCUCAAAGGGCAACCGCCCCGGGAGCGGGCUGGCAGGCGCAGUCGU
rnacentral:rRNA from 1 species